rnacentral:rRNA from 1 species
AGUGAACGCUGGCGGUAGGCCUAACACAUGCAAGUCGAACGGCAGCACAGUAAGAGCUUGCUCUUACGGGUGGCGAGUGGCGGACGGGUGAGGGAUACAUCGGAAUCUACUUUUUCGUGGGGGAUAACGUAGGGAAACUUACGCUAAUACCGCAUACGACCUACGGGUGAAAGCAGGGGAUCUUCGGACCUUGCGCGAUUGAAUGAGCCGAUGUCGGAUUAGCUAGUUGGCGGGGUAAAGGCCCACCAAGGCGACGAUCCGUAGCUGGUCUGAGAGGAUGAUCAGCCACACUGGAACUGAGACACGGUCCAGACUCCUACGGGAGGCAGCAGUGGGGAAUAUUGGACAAUGGGCGCAAGCCUGAUCCAGCCAUACCGCGUGGGUGAAGAAGGCCUUCGGGUUGUAAAGCCCUUUUGUUGGGAAAGAAAAGCAGCAGGUUAAUACCCCGCUGUUCUGACGGUACCAAAAGAAUAAGCACCGGCUAACUUCGUG